rnacentral:tRNA from 1 species
GCCUUCGUGGUCCAGCCUGGAGUGGACGCCUGCCUGUCACGCAGGAGAGCGUGGGUUCAAAUCCCAUCGAGGGCG